rnacentral:rRNA from 1 species
UACGGAGGGAGCUAGCGUUGUUCGGAAUUACUGGGCGUAAAGCGCGCGUAGGCGGCUUUGUAAGUUAGAGGUGAAAGCCCGAGGCUCAACCUCGGAACUGCCUUCGAUACUGCGGGUCUCGAGUCCGGGAGAGGUGAGUGGAAUUCCUAGUGUAGAGGUGAAAUUCGUAGAUAUUAGGAAGAACACCAGUGGCGAAGGGCGGCUCACUGGCCCGGUACUGACGCUGAGGCGGACGAAAGCGUGGGGAGCAAACAGGG